AACAUGAUUGCUGCUGGAAUGGAAGAUUCUAGUAUUUUGAUCUAUAAUAUUCGGAUUGAUGAGGUUCAUAAUCUCGUGCUUUCUAUUUGUCAAACUAUGUCGAUUCUUGAUGCCUUCUAUAGUUUGUAUUGCUUUUGAAAUUCAAUAGGUAACUUCCUCUUUUGCAUUACUUUGAAAUCAUUGUCUAUAAUGUCACUUUCUUUCAGAUAUUUUGAAGGUAAAUGGAUGUAUUCAGGAACUCCAACUAAACAGUUCAGGUAUUGGAGAUGAGGGUGCAAGGGUUAUUGCAGAUAUGCUGAAAGAAAAUCAAACUUUACGUGUACUGGAACUUAACAAUAAUAUGAUUGAAUAUUCUGGUUUUGCAAGUCUUGCUGGAGCACUAGUUGAGAAUAAGGCAAUUCGAUCUAUACAUCUCAAGCUAAUAAGACUUACACACACUUAGAUUUUCUAUC